GCGCUCACAUUGGCAGCACACAUACUAAAAUUGGAACGAUACAGAGAUUAACAUGGCCUCUAUACAAAGAUGACAUGCAAAUCCACGAAGCAGCCCAUAUUUUU
rnacentral:snRNA from 1 species